rnacentral:rRNA from 1 species
UACGUAGGGAGCAAGCGUUGUCCGGAAUCAUUGGGCGUAAAGCGCGCGUAGGUGGCCUCAUAAGUCCGCUGUGAAAGUCAAAAGGCUCAACCUUUGAAAGCCGGUGGAUACUGUGGGGGCUAGAGUACGGAAGAGGCGAGUGGAAUUCCUGGUGUAGCGGUGAAAAUGCGCAGAUAUCAGGAGGAACACCGGUGGCGAAGGCGGAUCUCUGGGCCAUUACUGACGCUGAGGAGCGAAAGCGUGGGGAGCGAACAGG